GAUGAACGCUAGCGACAGGCUUAACACAUGCAAGUCGAACGGAGUCAUCAUUUUUGAAGCAAUUAGCUUGCUAAGGGUGGAAAUGUUGGUGACUUAGUGGCGGACGGGUGAGUAACGCGUGGGUAACCUGCCAUAUACAGGGGGAUAACACUUAGAAAUAGGUGCUAAUACCGCAUAAGCGCACAGGACCGCAUGGUCUGGAGUGAAAAACAUUAGUGGUAUAUGAUGGACCCGCGUCUGAUUAGCUGGUUGGUGAGGUAACGGCCCACCAAGGCGACGAUCAGUAGCCGGCCUGAGAGGGUGGACGGCCACAUUGGGACUGAGACACGGCCCAA
rnacentral:rRNA from 1 species